AAUUAAAAUAAAUAAGAAAUAGGUUUUGAUUAUUUUGAUUUGAUCGUACAAAUUUGAAUAAAUAUUUUGUAUUUUUUUUUUUGAGAUAUAGGUAGCACGCUAGCCACUUCAUUUAUUUCAUUUAGAAAUAAAAUUAGCUGGAAAUGUGAAUCAAUUAGGAUUCGAACUUGGAUCUCGGGUACCAACCACCAAAUCCUUUGCCACUUGCUCUAGGGACGGUCGGUAAUAAAUAUUUUGUGUUGUGUUCUCAGGAAGAACGUCGCAGGUCAAUUUUUAAUGCCCUGAGAUGUUGAUAAAGAUUUUGUAAAAAAAUUUAUUGUAAAUUUUGAGAUAAAAGUACAUAAAAUUUGUUUUAAAUAUAAUAUUUUUUA
rnacentral:lncRNA from 1 species